rnacentral:rRNA from 1 species
CCGAACAGUAUCUCCUGAAAGCCCAACAGUUGAGCUGCUGGAUUUCUCAAGAGACUUAUCCGGCCGGCUACAGACCCUUUAGACCCAAUAAUAACGGUUACCACUCGAGCCGCCGGUGUUACCGCGGCGGCUGGCACCGGUCUUGCCCGGCCCUUGCUAUGCAAUGCUUUUUAGGCAUCACGACAGCCAGAUUUGUAACCUGGCACUCGAGGUCCCCUUAUCGCCGUUGCCGGCAUUGUAAAGUUUUCGCGCCUGCUGCACCCCGUAGGGCCUGGAUUCGUGUCUCAGAAUCCAUCUCCGGGCUCUUGCUCUCACAACCCGUACCCGUCGUAGGCUAGUAGGUACGCUACACCCACUACUACCUGAUAGGCCGCAGACCCAUCCUCUGGCGCCGGAGCUUUCGAUCUCGGGGC